UCUGAAUUCGGAUCGUCGGUCUACCGAUCAAAGUCACCCAAUCGGCGGAAGAUCUUCUCUUUUUCGU
rnacentral:pre_miRNA from 1 species